GACGAACGCUGGCGGCGUGCUUAACACAUGCAAGUCGAACGGUAAGGCCCUUCGGGGUACACGAGUGGCGAACGGGUGAGUAACACGUGGGUGAUCUGCCCUGCACUUCGGGAUAAGCCUGGGAAACUGGGUCUAAUACCGGAUAGGACCACUGCCUGCAUGCGUGGUGGUGGAAAGCUUUUGCGGUGUGGGAUGGGCCCGCGGCCUAUCAGCUUGUUGGUGGGGUGAUGGCCUACCAAGGCGACGACGGGUAGCCGGCCUGAGAGGGUGACCGGCCACACUGGGACUGAGAUACGGGCCAGACUCCUACGGGAGGCAGCAGUGGGGAAUAUUGCACAAUGGGCGCAAGCCUGAUGCAGCGACGCCGCGUGAGGGAUGACGGCCUUCGGGUUGUAAACCUCUUUCAGCACCGACGAAGCGCAAGUGACGGUAGGUGCAGAAGAAGGACCGGCCAACUACGUGCCAGCCGCCGCAGUAACAC
rnacentral:rRNA from 1 species